UACAGAGGUCUCAAGCGUUGUUCGGAUUCAUUGGGCGUAAAGGGUGCGUAGGCGGCGCGGUAAGUCGGGUGUGAAAUCUUGGGACUUAACUCCGAAACUGCAUUCGAUACUGCCGUGCUUGAGGACUGGAGAGGAGACUGGAAUUUACGGUGUAGCGGUGAAAUGCGUAGAUAUCGUAAGGAAGACCAGUGGCGAAGGCGGGUCUCUGGACAGUUCCUGACGCUGAGGCACGAAGGCCAGGGGGAGCAAAACGGGG
rnacentral:rRNA from 1 species